rnacentral:ncRNA from 1 species
GGGAGCCGUAUGAGGCGAGAGUUUCACGUACGGUUCUGCGAGAGGCUAGAGGCGAAAUCCCUCUUGGAU